AAGAUGUGUAGGUCUGUGAAUGGGGUAGGAUCCGACGCCUCCAGAAAGCUACAUAGGCUCUCCUACCCAACUUCUAUUCUGGUAUGUUCUAGUCAUACAGACCGGAACAUGUAGUCCCGCUGAUCUGAGCUUGGAACGGAUCCAAUCCCAACCCCUUGGAGGGGAUGGGGAUGCAUGGCCAAGGCAGAAGAG
rnacentral:ribozyme from 1 species